rnacentral:rRNA from 1 species
AUUGAACGCUGGCGGCAUGCCUUACACAUGCAAGUCGAACGGCAGCACGGGUGCUUGCCCCUGGUGGCGAGUGGCGAACGGGUGAGUAAUACAUCGGAACAUGUCCUGUAGUGGGGGAUAGCCCGGCGAAAGCCGGAUUAAUACCGCAUACGAUCUACGGAUGAAAGCGGGGGACCUUCGGGCCUCGCGCUAUAGGGUUGGCCGAUGGCUGAUUAGCUAGUUGGUGGGGUAAAGGCCUACCAAGGCGACGAUCAGUAGCUGGUAUGAGAGGACGACCAGCCACACUGGGACUGAGACACGGCCCAGACUCCUACGGGAGGCAGCAGUGGGGAAUUUUGGACAAUGGGCGAAAGCCUGAUCCAGCAAUGCCGCGUGUGUGAAGAAGGCCUUCGGGUUGUAAAGCACUUUUGUCCGGAAAGAAAUCCUUGGCCCUAAUACGGUCGGGGGAUGACGGUACCGGAAGAAUAAGCACCGGCUAACUACGUG